rnacentral:rRNA from 1 species
AUUGAACGCUGGCGGCAGGCCUAACACAUGCAAGUCGAGCGAGCGGCGGACGGGUGAGUAAUGUCUGGGAAACUGCCUGAUGGAGGGGGAUAACUACGGGAAACGGUAGCUAAUACCGCAUACCAUCAGAUGUGCGCAGAUGGGAUUAGCUAGUAGGUGGGGUAACGGCUCACCUAGGCGCCGAUCCCUAGCUGGUCUGAGAGGAUGACCAGCCACACUGGAACUGCGACACGGCCCAGACUCCUACGGGAGGCAGCAGUGGGGAAUUUUGGCCAAUUGGCGCAAGCCUGAUGCAGCCAUGCCGCGUGUGUGAAGAAGGCCUUCGGGUCGUAAAGCACUUUCAGCGGGGAGGCGGUACCCGCAGAAAAAGCACCGGCUAACUCCGUGCCAGCAGCCGCGGUAAUAC